CUCAGCACAAACAUCUCUCUCAUUUUCUACAAUCUGUGGGAUGACGUGUUCCACCCGCCAGGUGCAACAUGGUUGACCAGAAAAAAUGCAGUGAAUUACUGAAAAGAAAAGACCAUGAACAGGCCUAGGAGAAAAGAGUAACACCUGCUAAGUUACUCAAUUAGUAAAAAGUUGACGUUAGACUCUCCAAAAGGAAGGCUGUUGUCAGACAGCUGUUUGAUGCAAAGCAGACUGAUAUAUGACGUGGUCCCUGUGGGGAGCUGAGGGAGAUGCACACAGGAGCCAGCCCACCCUCACCUGCCUCCCUUCCCUGUGUCACACUGUGACAUAUUCGCCAUCCUCACGGAGCCUUCUGCCUUCCUUCGGUGCUGAUGGGCCAUCUCUCACCUCUGAGGAGUCUUUGAGGAAGGCGGCUUACGUUGCAUCAGCAAACAGGCCCUGCCUAAUUUCCCCAUGGUACUUGAGGGGAAAUUCUCUAUAAGCAUCUGUAAAGCUAAUUUAGUCAUUUCCUUCUAACCCCACUGUAAAUGUUCCCUUUUGCAGGGUGUGUAGAAACUAGACGCAACUUCUGGCCACUGGAUGCUGAGAUGAGAAUUUGUCGUGCUAACCAAAUUAACUCCUUGCUGCCUUGUCCCUCUCCAUUUGUUUGCUGUAGACUGCAACAAGCAAAGCUGUGGUGUCCCGGGCUACUCCUUGUUUCAUCCCCACCUUUCACUUCUGCCCCAGUCUUCCAUACAUGCAAGUGGUUCUGCUAUAUCCCUGUCUUAGGAAACGCAGCUCCCCUCUCUCUUCUCAGAAGUCACAUCCUCCCACAUCCACCCACAUCCACACUCCUGCACACCAGCCCCCUUCCUGCUGCCCUAACUCGCCUUCCUGUGCAGCACCAUCACUGACCCCAGCCUCAGCUGAAGGCUCGUGCAGACUGGCUCUGCUGUUAACUCCGGCCCUAACCUUACUCUCUCAGCUCUGUCCCUCCUCUAUCGGGAUCCCUUUCCCCUGCAGCUCUUUCAAGUCGUGACAACCUUCCCAAAGAAGCUAGAAGAACUUCUGGAAGACAACAGAAGUGGAAUAAGCAAAGUUUCCUCCCUCCGCCCCUUGCUGUUAGCUUCACUGCGCCUUUGGAAGGACUUUGCACUAGAGGAGAUGCUAUUUUUGUCCUGCUUAUGCAGCUAUGCUUGAUGCGAUGAAUAAAGCUGCAGGAGAACAGUCCUCUUGGAGAGGACCCUGAGUGCACUCGGCUAUAUCAUAUUUCCAGGUUGGUGCUUGGGCCUCAACAGUGCUGUCACCACUGGAGACCUCAGGGACAAAUGCAGCCACAGCAGUUUGCCUUUCUUGUCCCUCACCACCUGUGCAUAAGACAUGAAACACAGCGAUCUGAAGAAACUAACAUCGGGGUUUCAUUUGACAUUGCUGAAAAGAUUUGAGGGAAGGAUGUUGGGAGUAAAAUGUUUGUAAAAAUUAGAAAUCAGCAUCCCUUUAAAUAGACCGAGUCUGUUCCUUUCUAAUUGCCAUAUAAUCUUAUACUUCUGACACGGGAGCACAAGUAACUAAUCACUUCUGUAGCCUGGCUGUGAGCUGGGGAUUUAGUGUCUUCCUUCAAAGAGGAUUGCAGGUAACUGACUAACAGUAAGGUAGGACUGCCUGAGAUGACACUAUCCACGCGAGCUGCUCUCCUGGCAACCACAAUCCAAGAAGCAGAAAAUACCGAGAGAAAAGAAUGAGCUGGAAGGAGGAGCUGUUGUUUGAACAUGCGGAUGUUGGACUCUCCCAGAAGACAUCUGCAAAGAUGAAACAAUUGGAGGAAAUUUGUUUUGUGAUAUCCUUUCCCCCUGCAAUGUUUGACCAUCCUGAGGAGAGAAAGGAGGUUUUGAGCGUAUCUGUUUGCAACAUUCUGGUGCUUGAAAGGAUCUUAUAAGCAGGAGGGGGAGCAACUUUUUACGUGCUCUGAUAGUGAUGGGAUGAGAGGGAAGGACUUUGAACUAAAAUAUGUGAAAUAUAAGUUAGAUGAUAGGAGGAAAUUCUUUCCUCAGAGGGCGGUGAGGCGCUGGCACAGCUGCCCAGAGAAGCUGUGGUGCCCCAUCCCUGGAGGCGCUCAAGGCCAGGUUGGAUGGGGCCCUGGGCAGCCUGAGCUGGUGGGGGGCAGCCCUGCCCACGGCAGGAGUUGGGGCUGGGUCGGCUUUGAGCUCCCCUCCAGCCCAAACCGUUCUGUGAUUCUAUGAAAGAUGUCCCUCCCCAGUUUUUUUAUCAGCAAGGAAUCCUCCUACCUCGGCAUCUGAUUUUCCUCAUCAAGUCACAGUGCUCUGCUUGCAAAUUGCAAUUAAUCACUAUGGAGACUGUUGCAAAGUCACCAGUUUGGGAUUGGUCUUUCAGCUGAGCACUAAGCAACAGGUGCUGGGUGGCUUUGAGGAAAGCUCUUUAUUCACACUGAGGUGCAUUGUCUGAAGAUGAGGAAAGAUUUUCCUUGCAGCUAAAAAUAAUCAGAGAAUCAGAGGAUAAUGAAGGUUGGAAAAGACCUCUGGGAUCACCCAGUUCAACCAUCAGCCUACCCCCCCAUGCCCACUGCCCACGUCCCUCAGUGCCACAUCCACACGGCUCUUCAACACCUCCAGGGAUGGUGACUCCACCACCCCCCUGGGUAGCCUGUGCCACUGCCUCACUGCUCUUAAAUAAUGGCAUGAGCUGGGGGGGAUUUCCUGAAGUGGAAGAAACCUCGUGACAUGGAUACAACCCUGUGGCUCAUGGAGAGAGCGGGAGUCAGUGCUGGUUUGGAAGGUCUGCAUUCACAUCCGUCAACAGUAAGAGCUCUACAUGCUCCAGCUGCAGCCAUAGGCCAUCUCCAGCCUGGCUCUUCAGACUGUGAGGCCUGAGCAAGAGCAUCUCGCAUCACUCUCCCCACUGCUCUCGGCACAACAGUGAGGGAGUCAGGAUGCUGCUCUGCACGGACCUGUUCUGAAGCUGAGACCAGCACGUACCUGAGAGCUAUGGUUCCUUUCCUUGUGCCCGCACGCACACAGACUGGGGCUGCAGUCAGCUGGAGGGGUUUUAAAGCAUCUUUCUGGAGAGCAGACCUAAAUAUGUCAUCCAUUCCAUUUGGAAAUGAGGGCAGCAGCUCUGAGAAAAAGCAGACAGUGGGCAUCCGUGGGACUUGCCAGAUUAGAGACAAACUGCAUGAAAGCACUGUCAGCUCCUUGCUGAAUUUACACAGAUGCCCCUGCCCUGUCCCUGCCCCCUCUGCCAGCCAUCGCGUGACAUCGCAGCCAGUGGGGAAGGGCAGUGACAGCCACAGGUAAAGACUGCAUGGUGUUGUGCACCACUUUGGUGGCCUCCAGGAGCUGAAUCUAUGCUCUGACAGGCACUGUGCACAGCAGUGGUGGCGAAUAAGUGUGUCCAGAGGCACCUGGGGACAGCAAGGCAAGCAUUUUUAACCAGGUGCUGCUGAUGCAAAUCCAUCAGCACAGCCCCAGGUGGAACGCCCAUUGCAGUCAAAGGCUCAGUUCCUCACCCAGCAUCCAAGAAAGGAC
ensembl:lncRNA